AGCAAAAUCUGGGCUCACUGUGACGUAGAGAAAUUUUAUAUUGGUUUUUUCCUCCCAGCAUUUAACCAUCUAACAAAUUCACUCGAAACUUGUAUGGAUAUCUCGGCAGUACUCACAAGUCCAAAAUCAUCGGUUUUCUCCAGUCGCUUGAGUUCAGAAAAAUGUGAACCAUAGCCAGAUUGGAGGAGGUCCCAACGCUAAUGGUAAUGACGUCGGAUACCACAUCGGACACGUCGGGACCGGACACCCGCAGUUCGAUCCACCUAAGUACCUUCACCCGGACUGCCCAGGGAGACUAUUCCGGAAUUCCACCACAAAAGUUAAUCCCUUUGUUUCGCCAACAAGACGAGUUAAUUCGUUCACUUCGUUCUCCGCUCAUUAUGCUGAUCUCGUCUUCCUUGGACGGUUCGGCGUUGGUGUCCAAUAUGAGCCUGGGAAGGCCCGGCACGAAGCAUAUGCGAAAGAAGGCGACUUUGCUUCGAAUAAAUCCUUUCGGGCCGGUCAUUUACAUUUUUAUACGCAAAUUUCCCACGUUCAGACGAUUGGCUUGCGGCGUUUUCGUCGGAGGAUCGACUGGAGAAAGUGUGAAAAUUAUCGUCCACAAAUACAUGCAUAUUCAUGAGUGGGAUGCAGAGAACUUGUAACAGAUUAACUAGAAGGUUUUAGAAUUAGUCAUCCCGGGUGAUCGGUUCCAAUCUGGAUUUAAUGAUUAAAGUCCUUAAAAGGUA